AUUGAACGCUGGCGGCAUGCUUUACACAUGCAAGUCGAACGGCAGCGCGGGGGCAACCCUGGCGGCGAGUGGCGAACGGGUGAGUAAUGUAUCGGAACGUAUCCUGUAAUGGGGGAUAACCAGUCGAAAGAUUGGGUAAUACCGCAUACGCACGAGAGUGGAAAGUAGGGGAUCGCAAGACCUUACGUUAUAGGAGCGGCCGAUAUCUGAUUAGCUAGUUGGUGGGGUAAAGGCCUACCAAGGCGACGAUCAGUAGCUGGUCUGAGAGGACGACCAGCCACACUGGGACUGAGACACGGCCCAGACUCCUACGGGAGGCAGCAGUGGGGAAUUUUGGACAAUGGGCGAAAGCCUGAUCCAGCCAUGCCGCGUGCAGGAAGAAGGCCUCGGUUGUAACUGCUUAGUCUAGAAAGGGUAGCGAGGUUAAGUACCUCGUGCUUGUAUGGUACUGGAAGAAUAAGACACCGGCUAACUACGUGCCAGCAGCCGCGGUAAAGUAACU
rnacentral:rRNA from 1 species